AUUGAACGCUGGCGGCAGGCCUAACACAUGCAAGUCGAACGAGUGGCGGACGGGUGAGUAAUGACUGGGAAACUGCCAGAUGGAGGGGGAUAACUACUGGAAACGGUAGCUAAUACCGCACACCAUCAGAUGUGCCCAGAGGGGAUUAGCUAGUAGGUGGGGUAACGGCUCACCUAGGCGACGAUCCCUAGCUGGUCUGAGUGGAUGACCAUCCAAACUGGGACGGAGACAUGGUCCAGACUCCUACGGGAGGCAGCAGUGGGGAAUAUUGCAACAUGGGCGCAAGCCUGAUGCAGCCAUGCCGGGUGUAUGAAGAAGGCCUUCGGGUUGUAAAGUACUUUCAGCGGGAAGGCGGUACCCGCCGAAGAAGCACCGGCUAACUACGUGCCAGCAGCCGCGGUAAUUC
rnacentral:rRNA from 1 species